rnacentral:rRNA from 1 species
UACGAAGGGGGCUAGCGUUGCUCGGAAUUACUGGGCGUAAAGCGCACGUAGGCGGAUUGUUAAGUCGGGGGUGAAAUCCUGGAGCUCAACUCCAGAACUGCCUUCGAUACUGGCGAUCUCGAGUUCGGGAGAGGUGAGUGGAACUGCGAGUGUAGAGGUGAAAUUCGUAGAUAUUCGCAAGAACACCAGUGGCGAAGGCGGCUCACUGGCCCGAUACUGACGCUGAGGUGCGAAAGCGUGGGAGCAACAGGG